ensembl:lncRNA
CAGGGUGUUACGGUACAGAGUCAAUGUGGAGGCUAUAUACAGAGUGUUACGGUACAGAGUCAGUGUGGAGGCUAUAUACAGGGUGUUACGGUACAGAUUCAAUGUGGAGGCUAUAUACAGGGUGUUACGGUACAGAGUCAAUGUGGAGGCUAUAUACAGGGUGUUACGGUACAGAGUCAAUGUGGAGGCUAUAUACAGGGGGGUACCGGUACAGAGUCAAUGUGGAGGCUAUAUACAGGGUGUUACGGUACAGAGUCAAUGUGGAGGCUAUAUACAGGGUGUUACGGUACAGAGUCAAUGUGGAGGCAAUAUACAGGGUGUUACGG